UGAGAAGAGUGUCUGAUGAGUGGCAG
rnacentral:piRNA from 1 species